rnacentral:rRNA from 1 species
AUUGAACGCUGGCGGCAGGCUUAACACAUGCAAGUCGAGCGGAGAGAGGUAGCUUGCUACCGAUCUUAGCGGCGGACGGGUGAGUAAUGCUUAGGAAUCUGCCUAUUAGUGGGGGACAACAUUUCGAAAGGAAUGCUAAUACCGCAUACGUCCUACGGGAGAAAGCAGGGGAUCUUCGGACCUUGCGCUAAUAGAUGAGCCUAAGUCGGAUUAGCUAGUUGGUGGGGUAAAGGCCUACCAAGGCGACGAUCUGUAGCGGGUCUGAGAGGAUGGUCCGCCAGACUGGGACUGAGACACGGACCAGACUCCUACGGGAGGCAGCAGGGGGGAAUAUUGGACAAUGGGCGCAAGCCUGAUCCAGCCAUGCCGCGUGUGUGAAGAAGGCCUUAUGGUUGUAAAGCACUUUAAGCGAGGAGGAGGCUACUUUAGUUAAUACCUAGAGAUAGUGGACGUUACUCGCAGAAUAAGCACCGGCUAACUCUGUGCCAGCCGCCGCGGUAAAAC